rfam:Nematostella vectensis strain CH2 x CH6 NEMVEscaffold_251_Cont20871, whole genome shotgun sequence.
GACUCCGUAGCGCAAUGGUAGCGCGUCUGACUCCAGAUCAGAAUGUUGCGUGUUAAAAUAACGUCGGUGUCA